GACGAACGCUGGCGGCGUGCCUAAUACAUGCAAGUCGAGCGCAGGAAACUGACGGAACUCUUCGGAGGGAAGGCAGUGGAAUGAGCGGCGGACGGGUGAGUAACACGUAAGGAACCUGCCUCAAGGAUUGGGAUAACUCCGAGAAAUCGGAGCUAAUACCGGAUAGUUCAACGGACCGCAUGGUCCGCUGAUGAAAGGCGCUUCGGCGUCACCUUGAGAUGGCCUUGCGGUGCAUUAGCUAGUUGGUGGGGUAACGGCCCACCAAGGCGACGAUGCAUAGCCGACCUGAGAGGGUGAUCGGCCACACUGGGAAUGAGACACGGCCCAGACUCCUACGGGAGGCAGCAGUAGGGAAUCUUCAACAAUGGACGAAAGUCUGAUGGAGCAACGCCGCGUGAGUGAUGAAGGUUUUCGGAUCGUAAAACUCUGUUGUAAGGGAAGAACACGUACGAGAGGAAAUGCUCGUACCUUGACGGUACCUUACGAGAAAGCCACGGCUAACUACGUGCCAGCCGCCGCCGUAA
rnacentral:rRNA from 1 species